UACGUAGGGUGCAAGCGUUGUCCGGAAUUACUGGGCGUAAAGGGCUUGUAGGUGGCCAACUAAGUCAGACGUGAAAUCCCUCGGCUUAACCGGGGAACUGCGUCUGAUACUGGAUGGCUUGAGUGUGGGAGAGGGAUGCGGAAUUCCAGGUGUAGCGGUGAAAUGCGUAGAUAUCUGGAGGAACACCGGUGGCGAAGGCGGCAUCCUGGACCAUUACUGACACUGAAAAGCGAAAGCCAGGGGAGCAAACGGG
rnacentral:rRNA from 1 species